AUUGAACGCUGGCGGCAGGCCUAACACAUGCAAGUCGAGCGGAUGAAGGGAGCUUGCUCCUGGAUUCAGCGGCGGACGGGUGAGUAAUGCCUAGGAAUCUGCCUGGUAGUGGGGGAUAACGUCCGGAAACGGGCGCUAAUACCGCAUACGUCCUGAGGGAGAAAGUGGGGGAUCUUCGGACCUCACGCUAUCAGAUGAGCCUAGGUCGGAUUAGCUAGUUGGUGGGGUAAAGGCUUACCAAGGCGACGAUCCGUAACUGGUCUGAGAGGAUGAUCAGUCACACUGGAACUGAGACACGGUCCAGACUCCUACGGGAGGCCGCAGUGGGGAAUAUUGGACAAUGGGCGAAAGCCUGAUCCAGCCAUGCCGCGUGUGUGAAGAAGGUCUUCGGCUUGUAAAGCACUUUAAGUUGGGAGGAAGGGCAGUAAGUUAAUACCUUGCUGUUUUGACGUUACCAACAGAAUAAGCACCGGCUAACUUCGUG
rnacentral:rRNA from 1 species